rnacentral:rRNA from 1 species
UACGUAGGGCGCAAGCGUUAUCCGGAAUUAUUGGGCGUAAAGAGCUCGUAGGCGGUCUGUCGCGUCGAAUGUGAAAACCCGGGGCUCAACUCCGGGCUUGCAUUCGAUACGGGCAGGCUAGAGUUCGGCAGGGGAGACUGGAAUUCCUGGUGUAGCGGUGAAAUGCGCAGAUAUCAGGAGGAACACCGGUGGCGAAGGCGGGUCUCUGGGCCGAUACUGACACUGAGGAGCGAAAGCGUGGGGAGCGAACAGG